AUCCCCGAAUCUGGAUUAUCCGCGAUGGCUAUAUUCUCGCUGUAGGGUCCUUCGGAGAGGGCCACGGCGCAGUCAUCAAUACAUUUGUUAGCGAUGCUUUGUGCAUAGGCUGCAAGAAAACAGUUGUGUUUGGUCGAUUUGUAUCAUACUCGUUUUUCUUGCCAAAAGAAAACAGUUGUGUCAACAAUAUCUAGAGAUUUCAUUUUACAUUGAUAUCCAAAAUUUGUCUG